rnacentral:rRNA from 1 species
CUACGGGAGGCAGCAGUGAGGAUCUGCGCAUGAGCGAAGCUGAGCAGCACGCCGCGUGGAGAUGACGCUUCGGGUGUAAACUCCUUUCAGCAGGAACGAAGAUGACGGUACCUGCAGAAGAAGCUCCGGCCAACUACGUGCCAGCAGCCGCGGUAAGACGUAGGGAGCGAGCGUUGUCCGGAUUCAUUGGGCGUAAAGGGUCCGUAGGCGGCUCAGCAAGUCAGGUGUGAAAUCUCCAGGCUCAACCUGGAGGGGCCACCUGAUACUGCUGUGGCUUGAGUCCAGUAGGGGAGCAUGGAAUUCCCGGUGUAGCGGUGAAAUGCGCAGAUAUCGGGAGGAACACCAGUGGCGAAGGCGGUGCUCUGGGCUGGAACUGACGCUGAUGGACGAAAGCGUGGGUAGCAAACAGGAUUAGAUACCCUGGUAGUCCACGCCGUAAACGUUGGGCACUAGGUGUGGGGUCUUAUCGACGGAUUCCGUGCCGUAGCUAACGCAUUAAGUGCCCCGCCUGGGGAGUACGGCCGCAAGGCUAAAACUCAAAGGAAUUGACGGGGGCCCGCACAAGCGGCGGAGCAUGUUGCUUAAUUCGAGGCAACGCGAAGAACCUUACCUGGGCUUGACAUGCAGGGAAAAGCCGUAGAGAUACGGUGUCCUUCGGGGCCCUGCACAGGUGGUGCAUGGUUGUCGUCAGCUCGUGUCGUGAGAUGUUGGGUUAAGUCCCGCAACGAGCGCAACCCUUUUCCUAUGUUGCCAGCGGGUAAUGCCGGGGACUCGUAGGAGACUGCCGGGGUCAACUCGGAGGAAGGUGGGGAUGAAGUCAAAUCAUCAUGCCCCUUACGUCCAGGGCUGCGAACAUGCUACAAUGGCCGGUACAAAGGGCUGCUAUUCCGUGAGGAUGAGCGAAUCCCAAAAAGCCGGUCUCAGUUCGGAUCGAAGUCUGCAACUCGACUUCGUGAAGUCGGAGUCGCUAGUAAUCCCGGAUCAGCAACGCCGCGGUGAAUACGUUCCCGGG